GCCUAAGAUGGAGUCCAGGCCCUAUGAAUUCCUUCUUCGAUUGCUCAACUGAAUACCCUUAUAAACAUGCUGUUGGGGGAUUCACCCUGGGCGAUCAUCAGGAGAUCAUGGCAAUGUGCAUAGUUGAUGGACACAUGAGGGAUGUGGCAGUCGAGCUUGGAGCAGAGAAGGUGAUUUGUUGCAGAGCAAUUACCCUAAUGCAUUUUUAAAAGCAUAAAAUAAAGUAUCGUUUCAUUUGCUGAAAAGGUAUUUUAGGUGCUUCGGUAAAGCACUGACAGAA